rnacentral:rRNA from 1 species
UACGUAGGGGCUAGCGUUGUCCGGAUUUAUUGGGCGUAAAGAGCGUGUAGGCGGCCAGGUAGGUCUGCUGUGAAAACUCGAGGCUCAACCUCGAGACGUCGGCGGAAACCAUCUGGCUAGAGUCCGGAAGAGGAGAGUGGAAUUCCUGGUGUAGCGGUGAAAUGCGCAGAUAUCAGGAAGAACACCCGUGGCGAAGGCGGCGUCUCUGGGACGGUACUGACGCUGAGACGCGAAAGCGUGGGGAGCGAACAGG